rnacentral:lncRNA from 1 species
GAUUGUAUUAUUUGAGUAUUAUGUGUUUUGUGCUUAAUUGCUUAAUUAUGUGGUUUGAUUAAUUAAGAAUAAAAAUAAGCGUCAAAAUUUAAGUGUAAAAUAAACUUAAUAUCUUUGAAUAAUGUUGUAGUAGUUGAAACAAGGUUUCCGAAUAUAUAUAGAACGCCCAAAUCUGACUUCGUAUGAGGAAGUUAUGAUUUAUCGAAGUUUCGGCUUAGCGGUGUGCAGCCCGAAAUACNGAAACGAGGUUUCCGAAUAUAUAUAGAACGCCCAAAUCUGACUUCGUAUGAGGAAGUUAUGAUUUAUCGAAGUUUCGGCUUAGCGGUAUGCAGCCUGAAAUACUCGAUUUGAGAUCGAGCGGUUUUUAGCCGAAGAAAUCUAAACGAGGAUCGAAGGUCUUGUUGUUGGUAUCGAAGCGAUAAAAAGUUAGGCGAGAACGGACGUCA